rnacentral:rRNA from 1 species
CAUGCAAGUCGAGGGGAAACGACAUCGAAAGCUUGCUUUUGAUGGGCGUCGACCGGCGCACGGGUGAGUAACGCGUAUCCAACCUGCCCACCACUUGGGGAUAACCUUGCGAAAGUAAGACUAAUACCCAAUGACGUCUCUAGAAGACAUCUGAAGGAGAUUAAAGAUUUAUCGGUGAUGGAUGGGGAUGCGUCUGAUUAGCUUGUUGGCGGGGUAACGGCCCACCAAGGCGACGAUCAGUAGGGGUUCUGAGAGGAAGGUCCCCCACAUUGGAACUGAGACACGGUCCAAACUCCUACGGGAGGCAGCAGUGAGGAAUAUUGGUCAACGGACGAGAGUCUGAACCAGCCAAGUAGCGUGCAGGAUGACGGCCCUAUGGGUUGUAAACUGCUUUUAUAAGGGAAUAAAGUGAGAGUCGUGACUCUUUUUGCAUGUACCUUAUGAAUAAGGACCGGCUAAUUCCGUGCCAGCAGCCGCGGUAAUACGGAAGGUCCGGGCGUUAUCCGGAUUUAUUGGGUUUAAAGGGAGCGUAGGCCGGAGAUUAAGCGUGUUGUGAAAUGUAGAUGCUCAACAUCUGAACUGCAGCGCGAACUGGUUUCCUUGAGUACGCACAAAGUGGGCGGAAUUCGUGGUGUAGCGGUGAAAUGCUUAGAUAUCACGAAGAACUCCGAUUGCGAAGGCAGCUCACUGGAGCGCAACUGACGCUGAAGCUCGAAAGUGCGGGUAUCGAACAGGAUUAGAUACCCUGGUAGUCCGCACGGUAAACGAUGGAUGCCCGCUGUUGGUCUGAAUAGGUCAGCGGCCAAGCGAAAGCAUUAA